GUCGAACGGCAGUAGUAGCAAUACUAUGAGAGUGGCGCACGGGUGAGUAACACGUACAUAAUCUGCCGAGUACUGGGGGAAAGUCUAGGGAAACUUGGAAUAAUCCCGCAUAAGUUCUUCGAGUGGCAUCGCUUGAAGAAGAAAGCCGCAAGGUGGUACUUGAUGAAUGUGCGUCUGAUUAGCUAGUUGGUUAGGUAACGGCUGACCAAGGCGACGAUCAGUAGGGGGCGUGAGAGCGUGUACCCCCACACGGGUACUGAGACACGGACCCGACUCCUACGGGAGGCAGCAGUAAGGAAUAUUGGUCAAUGGGCGAAAGCCUGAACCAGCCAUGCCGCGUGAAGGAUGAAGGCGUUAUGCGUUGUAAACUUCUUUUGUAUAGGAAGAAUGGUCGAGAUUCAUCUCGAAAGCGACGGUACUAUACGAAUAAGCACCGGCUAACUCCGUGCCAGCAGCCGCGGUAAUACGGAGGGUGCGAGCGUUAUCCGGAAUCACUGGGUUUAAAGGGUACGUAGGCGGUUAAUUAAGUCAGCAGUGAAAGCCUGUCGCUCAACGACGGAUGUGCUGUUGAAACUGGUUAACUUGAAAUGGGUUAGGGUUGGCGGAAUGGGUCAUGUAGCGGUGAAAUGCUUAGAUAUGACUUGGAACACCGAAAGCGAAGGCAGCUGACCGAACCUUGUUUGACGCUGAGGUACGAAAGUGUGGGUAGCGAACAGGAUUAGAUACCCUGGUAGUCCACACCCUAAACUAUGCAGACUGGAUGUUGGGCGGCAAUAGUUCAGCAUCUGAGGGAAACCAUUAAGUCUGCCACCUGGGGAGUACGCCGGCAACGGUGAAACUCAAAGGAAUUGACGGGGGUCCGCACAAGCGGUGGAGUAUGUGGUUUAAUUCGAUGAUACGCGAGGAACCUUACCUGGGCUCGAAUGUUACCGCUAACCUGUUGAAAGAUGGGGUUCCCAGCAAUGG
rnacentral:rRNA from 1 species